rnacentral:rRNA from 1 species
GAUGAACGCUGGCGGCGUGCCUAAUACAUGCAAGUCGAGCGAACAGACGAGGAGCUUGCUCCUCUGACGUUAGCGGCGGACGGGUGAGUAACACGUGGAUAACCUACCUAUAAGACUGGGAUAACUUCGGGAAACCGGAGCUAAUACCGGAUAAUAUAUUGAACCGCAUGGUUCAAUAGUGAAAGACGGUUUUGCUGUCACUUAUAGAUGGAUCCGCGUCGCAUUAGCUAGUUGGUAAGGUAACGGCUUACCAAGGCAACGAUGCGUAGCCGACCUGAGAGGGUGAUCGGCCACACUGGAACUGAAACACGGUCCAGACUCCUACGGGAGGCAGCAGUAGGGAAUCUUCCGCAAUGGGCGAAAGCCUGACGGAGCAACGCCGCGUGAGUGAUGAAGGUCUUCGGAUCGUAAAACUCUGUUAUUAGGGAAGAACAAAUGUGUAAGUAACUAUGCACGUCUUGACGGUACCUAAUCAGAAAGCCACGGCUAACUACGUG